GAAAUGCGAUAAGUAAUGUGAAUUGCAGAAUUCAGUGAAUCAUCGAAUCUUUGAACGCACAUUGCGCCCGCCAGUAUUCUGGCGGGCAUGCCUGUCCGAGCGUCAUUUCAACCAUCAAGCCCCCGGGCUUGUGUUGGGGACCUGCGGCUGCCCGCAGGCCCUGAAAACCAGUGGCGGGCUCGCUGUCACACCGAGCGUAGUAGCAAUCACCUCGCUCAGGGCGUGCUGCGGGUUCCGGCCGUUAAACAGCCUUACAAAACCCAAGGUUGACCUCGGACCAGGUAGGAAGACCCGCUGAACUUAAGC
rnacentral:misc_RNA from 1 species